CCUACGGGAGGCAGCAGUGGGGAAUUUUCCGCAAUGGGCGAAAGCCUGACGGAGCAAUACCGCGUGAGGGAGGAAGGCUCUUGGGUUGUAAACCUCUUUUCUCAGGGAAGAAGCUCUGACGGUACCUGAGGAAUCAGCAUCGGCUAACUCCGUGCCAGCAGCCGCGGUAAGACGGAGGAGGCAAGCGUUAUCCGGAAUUAUUGGGCGUAAAGCGUCCGCAGGUGGCUCUUCAAGUCUGCUGUUAAAGCCCAGGGCUCAACCCUGGAGAAGCAGUGGAAACUGGGGAGCUAGAGUGUGGUAGGGGCAGAGGGAAUUCCCGGUGUAGCGGUGAAAUGCGUAGAGAUCGGGAAGAACACCAGUGGCGAAAGCGCUCUGCUGGACCACAACUGACACUCAUGGACGAAAGCUAGGGGAGCGAAUGGGAUUAGAUACCCCAGUAGUCCUAGCCGUAAACGAUGGACACUAGGUGUUGCGCGUAUCGACCCGUGCAGUGCCGUAGCCAACGCGUUAAGUGUCCCGCCUGGGGAGUACGCUCGCAAGAGUGAAACUCAAAGGAA
rnacentral:rRNA from 1 species